rnacentral:rRNA from 1 species
UGAGUACGAGAUGCUACGGCAUUGAAGCAGUGUAUGUCAGACUCCCAAGAAAAGCUCGCAAUGUCAUAAAUAAAUAAUGCCUGUACCAUAACCGACACAGGUGGGUAGGUAGAGUAUACUAAGGGGCGCGAGAUAACUCUCUCUAAGGAACUCGGCAAAAUGACUCCGUAACUUCGGGAGAAGGAGUGCCUUAUUUAUAAGGUUGCAAUAACAAGAUCCAAGCAACUGUUUACCAAAAACACAGGUCUCCGCUAAGUCGUAAGACGAUGUAUGGGGGCUGACGCCUGCCCAGUGCCAGAAGGUUAAAGAAGUUGGUUAGCAUUAGCGAAGCUGAUAGCUGAAGCCCUGGUGAACGGCGGCCGUAACUAUAACGGUCCUAAGGUAGCGAAAUUCCUUGUCGGGUAAGUUCCGACCCGCACGAAAGGCGUAAUGAUUUGGAUACUGUCUCGGAGAGGGGCUCGGUGAAAUAGACUUGUCUGUGAAGAUGCGGACUACCUGCACCUGGACAGAAAGACCCUAUGAAGCUUUACUGUAACUUGAAAUUGAAAUUGGACUUUAUUUGCGCAGUAUAGGUGGGAGGCGUUGAGUUUAUUCUUGUGGGAAUUUAGGAGCCAUCAGUGAGAUACCACUCUGGUAAUGUUAGAUUUCUAACUUUGUAUCAUAAUCUGGUCAAAGAACAGUUUCGGGCGGGCAGUUUGACUGGGGCGGUCGCCUCCUAAAUGGUAACGGAGGCGUACAAAGGUUUCCUCUGAACGUGUAGAAAUCGUAUCUAGAGUGUAAAGGCAUAAGGAAGCUUGACUGUGAGACUUACAAGUCGAGCAGGGACGAAAGUCGGUCUUAGUGAUCUGACGGUGCUGAGUGGAAAGGCCGUCACUCAACGGAUAAAAGUUACUCUAAGGAUAACAGGCUGAUCUCCCCCAAGAGUUCACAUCGACGGGGAGGUUUGGCACCUCGAUGUCGGCUCAUCGCAUCCUGGGGCGGUAGUACGUCCCAAGGGUUGGGCUGUUCGCCCAUGAGAGCGGUACGCGAGCUGGGUUCAGAACGUCGUGAGACAGUUCGGUCCAUAUCCGGUGUAGGCGUUAGAAUAUUGAGAGGAGCCUUCUUUAGUACGAGAGGACCGAGAAGGACAUACCUCUGGUGUACCAGUUAUCGUGCCAACGGUAAACGCUGGGUAGCUAUGUAUGGAGAGGAUAACCGCUGAAAGCAUCUAAGUGGGAAGCCCACCUCAAGAUAAGUAUUCUCA